rnacentral:rRNA from 1 species
AGAGUUUGAUCCUGGCUCAGAUUGAACGCUGGCGGCAGGCCUAACACAUGCAAGUCGAAUGGUAACAGGAAGAAGCUUGCUUCUUUGCUGACGAGUGGCGGACGGGUGAGUAAUGUCUGGCAACCUGCCCUUAGGAUGGGGACAACGGCCCGAAAGGACCGCUAAUACCGAAUGCACUCUAACUUCCGCAUGGAAGAAAGAGGAAAGAUGGUGCAAGCCAUCGCCGAAGGAAGGGCCUGCGUCUGAUUAGCCAGUUGGUGAGGUAACGGCUCACCAAAGCGACGAUCAGUAGCCGGUCUGAGAGGAUGAACGGCCACAAUGGGACUGAGACACGGCCCAUACUCCUACGGGAGGCAGCAGUGGGGAAUCUUCCGCAAUGGGCGAAAGCCUGACGGAGCAACGCCGCGUGGGUGAAGAAGGUCUUCGGGUCGUAAAGCUCUGUUGUUGGGGACGAAAGGAAAAGGGAGGAAAUGCCCUUUUUAAGACGGUACCCGACGAGCAAGCCACGGCUAACUACGUGCCAGCAGCCGCGGU